rnacentral:rRNA from 1 species
UGGUUAGUAGGUUGAUCAUGCCUCUGGUAUGUACUGGUCUCACUGAUUCCUCCUUUCCGAUGAGCCGUAAUGCCAUUAAUUUGGUGUUGCGGGGAAUUUGGACUGUUACUUUGAGAAAAUCAGAGUGUUCAAAGCAGGCAUAUGCCCGAAUACAUUAGCAUGGAAUAAUAAAAUAGGACGUGCGGUUCUAUUUUGUUGGUUUCUAGAGUCGCCGUA